rfam:Sorghum bicolor cultivar BTx623 chromosome 9, whole genome shotgun sequence.
GUUGUCGGUUCAAUCCAUAUGUGUUGGUGUGGAUUUGUGUGAAAUUUAGUUCAAAUUCCACUCUAAUCCACCUCAACACAUGUAGAUUGAUGUGAAUCCGACU